UUGAGGGGGAUACCAGUUGGAAACGACUGUUAAUACCGCAUAAUAUCUGUGGAUUAAAGGUGGCUUUCGGGCUGUCGCAGAUGGAUGAGCCUGCGUUGGAUUAGCUAGUUGGUGGGGUAAGGGCCCACCAAGGCUACGAUCCAUAGCUGAUUUGAGAGGAUGAUCAGCCACAUUGGGACUGAGACACGGCCCAAACUCCUACGGGAGGCAGCAGUGGGGAAUAUUGGACAAUGGGGGCAACCCUGAUCCAGCAAUGCCAUGUGUGUGAAGAAGGCCCUAGGGUUGUAAAGCACUUUAGUUGGGGAGGAAAGCCUCAAGGUUAAUAGCCUUGGGGAGGACGUUACCCAAAGAAUAAGCACCGGCUAACUCCGUGCCAGCAGCCGCGGUAAUACGGGGGGUGCAAGCGUUAAUCGGAAUUACUGGGCGUAAAGGGUCUGUAGGUGGUUUGUUAAGUCAGAUGUGAAAGCCCAGGGCUCAACCUUGGAACUGCAUUUGAUACUGGCAAACUAGAGUACGGUAGAGGAAUGGGGAAUUUCUGGUGUAGCGGUGAAAUGCGUAGAGAUCAGAAGGAACACCAAUGGCGAAGGCAACAUUCUGGACCGAUACUGACACUGAGGGACGAAAGCGUGGGGAUCAAACAGGAUUAGAUACCCUGGUAGUCCACGCUAUAAACGAUGAGUACUAGCUGUUGGAGUCGGUGUAAAGGCUCUAGUGGCGCAGCUAACGCGAUAAGUACUCCGCCUGGGGACUACGGCCGCAAGGCUAAAACUCAAAGGAAUUGACGGGGACCCGCACAAGCGGUGGAGCAUGUGGUUUAAUUCGAUGCAACGCGAAGAACCUUACCUGGUCUUGACAUCCUGCGAACUUUCUAGAGAUAGAUUGGUGCCUUCGGGAACGCAGUGACAGGUGCUGCACGGCUGUCGUCAGCUCGUGUUGUGAAAUGUUGGGUUAAGUCCCGCAACGAGCGCAACCCCUAUUGAUAGUUACCAUCAUUAAGUUGGGUACUCUAUUGAGACUGCCGCUGACAAGGCGGAGGAAGGUGGGGACGACGUCAAGUCAUCAUGGCCCUUACGACCAGGGCUACACACGUGCUACAAUGGGUAUUACAGAGGGCUGCGAAGGUGCGAGCUGGAGCGAAACUCAAAAAGGUACUCUUAGUCCAA
rnacentral:rRNA from 1 species